rnacentral:rRNA from 1 species
UACGUAGGGGGCAAGCGUUGUCCGGAUUUAUUGGGCGUAAAGAGCGUGUAGGCGGCCACACAGGUCUGCUGUGAAAACUCGAGGCUCAACCUCGAGCUGUCGGUGGAAACCGUGUGGCUAGAGUCCGGAAGAGGAGAGUGGAAUUCCCGGUGUAGCGGUGAAAUGCGCAGAUAUCGGGAGGAACACCCGUGGCGAAGGCGGCUCUCUGGGACGGUACUGACGCUGAGACGCGAAAGCGUGGGGAGCGAACAGG